rnacentral:rRNA from 1 species
GACAGAGGUGCCAAGCGUUAGGCGGAAUCACUGGGCGUAAAGCGCACGUAGGCGGAUUUGCCAGUCAGGGGUGAAAUCCCGGGGCUCAACCUCGGAACUGCCUUUGAUACAGCAAGUCUUGAGUUCGAGAGAGGUGGGUGGAAUUCCUAGUGUAGAGGUGAAAUUCGUAGAUAUUAGGAAGAACACCGGUGGCGAAGGCGGCCCACUGGCUCGACACUGACGCUGAGGUGCGAAAGCGUGGGGAGCAAACAGG